rnacentral:rRNA from 1 species
GGCCCUACGGGGCGCAGCAGGCGCGAAACCUCCACAAUGUGAGAAAUCGCGAUGGGGGAAUCCCAAGUGCCAUUCUUAACGGGAUGGCUUUUCUUAAGUGUAAAGAGCUUUUGGAAUAAGAGCUGGGCAAGACCGGUGCCAGCCGCCGCGGUAACACCGGCGGCUCGAGUGGUAACCGUUAUUAUUGGGUCUAAAGGGUCUGUAGCCGGCCGGAUAAGUCUCUUGAGAAAUCUGGCAGCUUAACUGUCAGGCUUUCAGGAGAUACUGUCUGGCUCGAGGCCGGGAGAGGUGAGAGGUACUUCAGGGGUAGGGGUGAAAUCUUGUAAUCCUUGAAGGACCACCAGUGGCGAAGGCGUCUCACCAGAACGGACCUGACGGCAAGGGACGAAAGCUAGGGGCACGAACCGGAUUAGAUACCCGGGUAGUCCUAGCCGUAAACGAUACUCGCUAGGUGUCGGCCACGGUGCGACCGUUGUCGGUGCCGUAGGGAAGCCGUGAAGCGAGCCACCUGGGAAGUACGGCCGCAAGGCUGAAACUUAAAGGAAUUGGCGGGGGAGCACCACAACGGGUGGAGCUUGCGGUUUAAUUGGAUUCAACGCCGGAAAUCUU